ACUAUUCUGUGUUUAAGUCGCAUCUUACCAGGACCAUUCUUACUGUGCUUUGAUGCUUUUCAAUACAGAUCUUGAUGCAUUCAUGGCAAGGCCAAGAGCACCCUGAGAAAUGAGGAAAAAGAAGCACCAGUUGAGAGGGAGAAGUCAGUGGAGAACCUGUUUCUUUCCUCAACCACAAGAUAGACUUUCCUUAAAUGUAAGUAGGAAGAUCAGAUAUUUGUGUCUGUUAAUCCCCCUAUUUAUACAGGAAUGGGAAUUCACCACUCUGGGAAAAAAAAGAAGAGGAAAGGAAAUUAAAUUCAAAGAUAAAAGCCCAAAUGACAAUUUAUUAUUUUAUAGAAUUCUCUUUAACUCCCUGGAUUUUAUCUAUCUUUAGCAUGCUUUUUUUUUUUUUUUUUUUUUUUUUUUUUUUCUGUCAACAAACAAAGCAAUCCUUUAUUUCUCACUACACAACCUUCCCAUUAAUUAUAACUGAUAAAGGCUACUCUCUACUUAUUAGUAUUUAUUGAUGGUUUUUAAAAUUUCUUUUACUUUUUUAGCCCAGUGUUAUAUUAUUUCCUCAUUACCUACUAGGUGUUAGGUCCUCUUCCCCCUUCUUCUGAAAAAUUCAAAC
rnacentral:lncRNA from 1 species